rnacentral:rRNA from 1 species
GUGGGGAAUAUUGGACAAUGGGGGGAACCCUGAUCCAGCCAUGCCGCGUGUGUGAAGAAGGCCUUUUGGUUGUAAAGCACUUUAAGCGAGGAGGAGGCUUACCUGGUUAAUACCUAGGAUAAGUGGACGUUACUCGCAGAAUAAGCACCGGCUAACUCUGUGCCAGCAGCCGCGGUAAUACAGAGGGUGCGAGCGUUAAUCGGAUUUACUGGGCGUAAAGCGCGCGUAGGUGGUUAAUUAAGUCAAAUGUGAAAUCCCCGAGCUUAACUUGGGAAUUGCAUUCGAUACUGGUUAGCUAGAGUAUGGGAGAGGAUGGUAGAAUUCCAGGUGUAGCGGUGAAAUGCGUAGAGAUCUGGAGGAAUACCGAUGGCGAAGGCAGCCAUCUGGCCUAAUACUGACACUGAGGUGCGAAAGCAUGGGGAGCAAACAGGAUUAGAAACCCUAGUAGUCC